rnacentral:tRNA from 1 species
ACCUUGCUGGUGGAAAUUGUUAACAUGCUUAGCUGUCAACUGAAAGGUUGGUGGUUCAAAUCCACCCAGAGGUG